CCUACGGGGGGCAGCAGUGAGGAAUAUUGGUCAAUGGCCGCGAGCCUGAACCAGCCAAGUAGCGUGAAGGAUGACUGCCCUACGGGUUGUAAACUUCUUUUAUAAGGGAAUAAAGUUGUGCACGUGUGCCUUUUUGUAUGUACUUUAUGAAUAAGGAUCGGCUAACUCCGUGCCAGCAGCCGCGGUAAUACGGAGGAUCCGCGCGUUAUCCGGAUUUAUUGGGUUUAAAGGGAGCGUAGAUGGGUUGUUAAGUCAGUUGUGAAAGUUUGCGGCUCAACCGUAAAAUUGCAAUUGAUACUGGCAGCCUUGAGUACAGUGGAGGUAGGCGGAAUUCGUGGUGUAGCGGUGAAAUGCUUAGAUAUCACGAAGAACUCCGAUUGCGAAGGCAGCUUACUAAACUGCCACUGACAUUGAUGCUCGAAAGUGUGGGUAUCAAACAGGAUUAGAUACCCCUGUAGUC
rnacentral:rRNA from 1 species